GAUUUCUGGCUUGGCGCGCCACCCCUGGGGCCUCACAGUUCCAGUGUGGUCGUGUGCGCCUUCCAUCCUUCUAGUUAACCAUCAUCACUUAACUGGGGUGGUGGCAAUCUAGAUCUUUUACUUUGAAAAAAUUAGAGUGUUUCAAGCAGGCUUUAUGCUAUGAAUACAUUAGCAUGGAAUAAUAAUUUAGGACUUCGGUUCUAUUUUGUUGGUUUCUAGGACUGAAGUAAUGAUUGAUAGGGAUAGUUGGGGGUGCUAGUAUUCAGCGGCCAGAGGUGAAAUUCUCGGAUUCGCUGAAGACUAACUUAUGCGAAAGCAUU
rnacentral:rRNA from 1 species